rnacentral:rRNA from 1 species
AGCGCCAGCUUUCGUGGAGCCAUCCUUGAAAUACGGCCCUUUGGCUGUCUGAGGUCUAACGCGCCUAUGGUGCGGACACUGCUUGGUGGGUAGUUUGACUGGGGUGGUCGCCUCCAAAAGCGUAACGGAGGCUUCCAAAGGUGCCCUCGGGCCGAUUGGUAACCGGCCUUAUAGAGUGCAAUGGCAUAAGGGCGCUUGACUGGGAGGCAGACAUGCCGAGCAGGCAGGAAACUGGGGCAUAGUGAUCCGGCG